UACGUAGGGCGCAAGCGUUAUCCGGAAUUAUUGGGCGUAAAGAGCUCGUAGGCGGUUUGUCGCGUCUGCCGUGAAAGUCCGGGGCUCAACUCCGGAUCUGCGGUGGGUACGGGCAGACUAGAGUGAUGUAGGGGAGACUGGAAUUCCUGGUGUAGCGGUGAAAUGCGUAGAGAUCCGGAAGAACACCGGUGGCGAAGGCGGCCCGCUGGGCAGUGACUGACGCUGAGGCGCGACAGCGUGGGGAGCAAACAGG
rnacentral:rRNA from 1 species